rnacentral:misc_RNA from 1 species
GUAGGUGAACCUGCGGAAGGAUCAUUAGCCGUAGUUUUUGAAGUCCACGGGGCAAUGCUUUCUGAAAGGACAGUUGGUGGAUGUUUGGUUCCACUGGCUGGGGCGGACUGGAGAAUGCAUCAGCGAUGUACUGACUGACCACAUUCGGCCUCCGCUGAUCGAGCUUGUUCCUGAAUUCUACCCUUGCUUUUUGCGCACCCAUUGUUUCCUCGGCAGGCUUGCCUGCCAGUAGGACCCCCUUUAACCCUUU